ACGCUCGACACCUACGGGAGGCAGCAGUGGGGAAUAUUGCACAAUGGGGGAAACCCUGAUGCAGCGACGCCGCGUGAAGGAAGAAGUAUCUCGGUAUGUAAACUUCUAUCAGCAGGGAAGAAAGUGACGGUACCUGACUAAGAAGCCCCGGCUAACUACGUGCCUGCAGCCGCGGUAAUCUGAGCGGGCUGGCAAGGC
rnacentral:rRNA from 1 species